rnacentral:rRNA from 1 species
UGGCGGACGGGGAGGUAAUGUCUGGGAAACUGCCCGAUGAGGGGGAGUAACUACUGGAAACGGUAGCAAUACCGCAUAACGUCGCAAGACCAAAGAGGGGGACCUUCGGGCCUCUUGCCAUCGGAUGUGCCCAGAUGGGAUUAGCUUGUAGGUAAGGUAACGGCUUACCUAGGCGACGAUCCCUAGCUGGUCUGAGAGGAUGACCAGCCACACUGGAACUGAGACACGGUCCAG